CCAGACAGAUGGGCCUCGAUCCCACAAAAAAUUAAUUAACAGCUAACUACCCAAACCAGCGGGCUUCUAUCUG
rnacentral:tRNA from 1 species